rnacentral:lncRNA from 1 species
UUUCCUCUUCUUGCUUUUCCCUGGAGAACUCUCUUCUUGGGACCUCUCCAUUCUUUUCUGGGUGGUUCUGCCUACACCGCUGGGCAGGGAUGAAGAGCCAAAGAGGCGGCAUCGCCUGGCCCGACUGUCCGGCCUCCUGGUGACCAGCGGCGCAGUCCAGAGGCUCGCCACAUCAGAGGGCAUCUCCUCAUCAUUUUUCAGAUCUUG